rnacentral:lncRNA from 1 species
CUUACCCUGUAGGAAUUCUAGUGACUAUGUUGCCACCAUCUUGGAGCUCCAUGCCCUCAUAGUAUAGUGGCACCAGCAGAUCUGCCUGUGCAUGGACUUCCUGUACUACCUCACUCCUGAGGGGAGAUGCUUCUGCAGGGCCUAUGAACUGGUGCACAACUUUAGCCACCAUCGUCCUGGAGCAGCGCUACACCCUCACUAGCCAGGGUGUCGACAGCCUCAAGGCCAAGGCCACAUUCAAGACUUUGGACUUCACUGAUGCACUUGUGCCGAGCAAGCUGUUUUGCAGAUCCUGGUCAGAGUAAAACAUUCCAUGGGAACUCGGGCUGUGAGAAGCAUCCUAACCACCUGACUGCAGAAACAUCCUUAUCACAUCCUGCUGGGCAAAGGCCCAACAGCCUGACUUCAGGAACAUCCUUAUCAUCUUCUACUGGGCAGCAAGCUAUACUGUCCAGAGCGCUCCCUCCCAGCCCCAUGAUUACCCCAGCCUGUGAGCGGCAGUGGGUGCUGACACUAAGCUGGUUUCCCCCUCCGCAGGGUUUUGCUAGUAAUAAACCUGUGUUGCUGUUGAAGCGGCCAA